rnacentral:rRNA from 1 species
CCUACGGGAUGCUGCAGUGAGGAAUAUUGGUCAAUGGCCGAGAGGCUGAACCAGCCAAGUCGCGUGAGGGAAGAAUGUCCUAUGGAUUGUAAACCUCUUUUGUCAGGGAGCAAAGUCACCCACGUGUGGGGGUUGGAGAGUACCUGAAGAAAAAGCAUCGGCUAACUCCGUGCCAGCAGCCGCGGUAAUACGGAGGAUGCGAGCGUUAUCCGGAUUUAUUGGGUUUAAAGGGUGCGUAGGCGGGUUAUCAAGUCAGCGGUAAAAUCGUGGAGCUCAACUCCAUCCAGCCGUUGAAACUGCUGAUCUUGCGUGGGCGAGAAGUAUGCGGACUGCGUGGUGUAGCGGUGCACUGCAUAGAUCUCACGCAGAACUCCGAUUGCGAAGGCAGCCUACCGGCGCCCGACUGACGCUGCCGCACGAAAGCGUGGGUAUCGAACAGGAUUAGAUACCCGAGUAGUC